CCCAGACUCCUACGGGAGGCAGCAGUGGGGAAUAUUGCACAAUGGGGGAAACCCUGAUGCAGCGACGCCGCGUGAGCGAUGAAGUAUUUCGGUAUGUAAAGCUCUAUCAGCAGGGAAGAAGAUGACGGUACCUGACUAAGAAGCCCCGGCUAACUACGUGCCAGCAGCCGCGGUAAUACGUAGGGGGCAAGCGUUAUCCGGAUUCACUGGGUGUAAAGGGAGCGUAGACGGCCAUGCAAGCCAGGGGUGAAAGCCCGGGGCCCAACCCCGGGACUGCCCUUGGAACUGCAUGGCUGGAGUGCGGGAGGGGCAGGCGGAAUUCCUGGUGUAGCGGUGAAAUGCGUAGAUAUCAGGAGGAACACCGGCGGCGAAGGCGGCCUGCUGGACCGUGACUGACGUUGAGGCUCGAGAGCGUGGGGAGCAAACAGGAUUAGAUACCCGCGUAA
rnacentral:rRNA from 1 species